rnacentral:lncRNA from 1 species
ACCCAUCACAAACUUUUGUGAAUAUCUGGCUAUUGUCAAUGUAAAAUAAAAAAUAUACCAAGUCACACUCUGCAUUACAGGUUCUGACUUAUAAAGUAUGCUUUUAGCUUUAUUUCAGUCUUUUUAAAUAAGAAUGUUUAGAAAAAUCAAGUUAGACAUAUUAACACUUCUUAAAAAUUUUGGCAAGAUAGUGCCCAAGUUCCAAACAGCACAAGCUAUAUCAAUGUAAAAAGGCAUGAAAGGUAUCAAACCAAAACAUCAGGGCUGUUAUAGGUCAACCUAUUUAAUCACAUCCAAAAGUUUGAAAUUUCACUCUGCAGAAUUGCUACACAUACAGAAAUACUCCAUUUGUUAAUAUGGACAACAUGGAGCAAACAUACAUAAAUUUGCACAGUUCAAGUUUAAAAAAAAAAAAACCUUUCAACUUUUGUUUACACUCAUAUCCCUCAACUCUCAACGAAAUAAGGUGUUGUUAUCUGUCAUUUUUAUGGUGGAAUUUACUACUCUAAGGAACAAUUUUCAGAUGCCAAAUUUGA